CCUAACGGAAGUAACGAUGGUGAAGAGACGUCAACACCAUGACCAUGAGCUUUACCUUUUUUGGUCUUUGACGAGUUAUGGUUCAGUUU